AUACUCACCUGGCAGGGGAGAUACCAUGAUCACAAAGGUGGUUUUCCCAGGGCUAGACUUAUCUAUUGCACUUCGGAUGUGCUAACCCCUGCGAUUUCCCUGAAUGUAGCACCGCAUAAUCUGUGGUAGUGGGGGACUGCCUUUAGUGCUUUCCUCUG
rnacentral:snRNA from 1 species